rnacentral:misc_RNA from 1 species
AAGUCGUAACAAGGUUUCCGUAGGUGAACCUGCGGAAGGAUCAUUAUCGAGUUUUGAAACGGGUUGUAGCUGGCCUUCUUUGGCACCGUGCACGCCCUGCUCAUCCACUCUACACCUGUGCACUUACUGUAGGUUUCAGACGCGAUGCGAGUUUAGGCUCGCGGAGCUUAUGGGGCUUACGUUUCAACCACAAACGCUUCAGUAUCAGAAUGUGUAUCGCGAUGUAACGCAUCUAAAUACAACUUUCAACAACGGAUCUCUUGGCUCUC